rnacentral:rRNA from 1 species
GACGAACCGUGCGAACGUUGUUCGGAAUCACUGGGCUUAAAGGGCGCGUAGGCGGCAUAUCAAGUCCGGGGUGAAAGCUUUCGGCUCAACCGGAAAAGUGCCUUGGAUACUGGUAUGCUCGAGGGAGGUAGGGGCGGCCGGAACUUCCGGUGGAGCGGUGAAAUGCGUAGAUAUCGGAAGGAACGCCGGUGGCGAAAGCGGGCCGCUGGACCUCUACUGACGCUGAGGCGCGAAAGCCAGGGGAGCGAACGGG